rfam:Streptococcus pyogenes MGAS2096, complete genome.
GUUCUACAGAUGUGAUUACUUCAAGUAAGCAGGCUAGAGACAUAACAAUCAGAAUAUUAAAGGAUGUUAUCACAGUUUUGUGAGCAGGGACCUAUUCGA